GAUGAACGCUGGCGGCGUGCCUAAUACAUGCAAGUCGAGCGAACAGACGAGGUGCUUGCUCCCCUGACGUGAGCGGCGGACGGGUGAGUAACACGUGGAUAACCUACCUAUAAGACUGGGACAACUUCGGGAAACCGGAGCUAAUACCGGAUAAUAUAUUGAACCGCAUGGUUCAAUAGUGAAAGACGGAUUUGCUGUCACUAAUAGAGGGAUCCGCGUCGCAUUAGCUAGUUGGUAAGGUAACGGCUUACCAAGGCGACGAUGCGUAGCCGACCUGAGAGGGUGAUCGGCCACACUGGAACUGAGACACGGUCCAGACUCCUACGGGAGGCAGCAGUGGGGAAUCUUGGACAAUGGGCGAAAGCUUGACGGAGCAACGCCGCGUGGGUGAUGAAGGUCUUCGGAUCGUAAAGCUCUGUUGUUGGGGAAGAACAAGUGUGUAAGAAACUAUGCACGUCUUGACGGUACCUAAACAGAAAGCCACGGCUAACUACGUG
rnacentral:rRNA from 1 species